GACGAACGCUGGCGGCGUGCUUAACACAUGCAAGUCGAACGGAAAGGCCCUGCUUUUGUGGGGUGCUCGAGUGGCGAACGGGUGAGUAACACGUGAGUAACCUGCCCUUGACUUUGGGAUAACUUCAGGAAACUGGGGCUCAUACCGGAUAGGAGCUCCUGCUGCAUGGUGGGGGUUGGAAAGUUUCGGCGGUUGGGGAUGGACUCGCGGCUUAUCAGCUUGUUGGUGGGGUAGUGGCUUACCAAGGCUUUGACGGGUAGCCGGCCUGAGAGGGUUACCGGCCACAUUGGGCCUGAGAGACGGACCAGACUGCUACGGGAGGCAGUAGGGGGGAAUAUUGCAGAAUGGGCGGAAGCCUGAUGCAGCAACGCCGCGUGCGGGAUGAUGGCCUACGGGGUGUAAACCGCUUUCGAAGGUGACGAAGCGUGAGUGACGGUAAUGGGUAAAGAAGCACCGGCUAACUACGUG
rnacentral:rRNA from 1 species